UUCUUCUUUCUUCUUCUUCUGAAUUCGUGAGCGGUGAAAAGAGACUGAAGAGUGAUAAGAAAGUAAAGCCAAAAGGAAUACUACCAGGUCCAAACGUCUUAAAUAUCAUGUUACAAACUGAUUAGAAUAUUUGAGAAUCUUCUGGUGUUAAGUCAUUUUGUCAUUAGUGUAAGAAUCCAGAUGGCUAACAAUAGAUAGUGAUAAUUGUGGAUACAUUGUAACCAAUUUUUUUUGUUAUAUAUGUACUUG
rnacentral:lncRNA from 1 species